rnacentral:rRNA from 1 species
ACAUGUCUUUUUGGUUAUUUAAUAUAAAGUCUGACCUGCCCACUGAAUAUAAUUUUAAAGGGCCGCAGUAUUUUGACUGUGCAAAGGUAGCAUAAUCAUUAGUCUUUUAAUUGAAGGCUGGUAUGAAUGGUUGGAUGAGGCACAAGCUGUGUCAUAAAAAUUAAUAUUUGAAUUUACCUUUUUAGUCAAAAGGCUAAAAUUUUAUUAAAAGACGAGAAGACCCUAUAGAGCUUUAUAUAGUUAAUAUUUAGAUUAUUAAUAUUUUUUAAAUUUAAUUAUUUUAUUAUAUUUUGUUGGGGUGACAAUAAAAUUUAUAAAACUUUUAUUAUUAUUAUUCAUUAAUUUAUGUUUAAAUGAUCCAAUUUUAUUGAUUAUAAAUUUAAGUUACCUUAGGGAUAACAGCGUAAUUUUUUUUGAGAGUUCUUAUCGACAGAAAAGAUUGCGACCUCGAUGUUGGAUUAAGAGUAAUUUUGGGUGUAGAAGUUCAAAGUUUAAGUCUGUUCGACUUUUAAAUUCUUACAUGAUC